CUCUGGCUGCCCUUAACAUUUUUUUCCUUCAUUUUGAACUUGGAGAAUCAGAUGAUUAUGUGUCUUGGUGUUGAUUAUCUCAUGAAAUAUCUUAGUGGUGUUCGCUAUAUUUCCUGAAUUUGCAUGCUGGCCUGUCUUGCUAGGUUGGGGGGGUUCUCCUGGAUAAUAUCCUGAGGUGUGUUUUUCAGCUUAUUUCCAUUCUCCCUAUCUCCUCCUGGUACUUCAAUCAAUCAUAAGUUAAGUCUUUUUAUGAAGUUCCAUAUUUCUUAGAGGCUUUGUUUAUUGCUUUCAUUCUUUUUUCUUUAGUCUUGUCCG